rnacentral:lncRNA from 1 species
UGUGUAGUUGGCCUAUAUAAUGGUCUUACUAUCUUUGUGUAAAGGACAGCAACAACAGCUAAUAAACUCUAUUGAUGUUCUCUCCAUUCUUCUUUUCCUUGCUCCCUUAUAUUUGAGUGCAUGCAACUACUCAUUAGAGUUCAAGGAAAAAUAAACAGAAGGGAUUAAAAGAACAAUUAAAUAUCAACAUUGUUAUUCUUCUAAUGUUCCUUUUGUUUAAACAAUAGGAAAAUCAGUAAAAUGUUAUCCCUAUAAAUCAGAAGGUCGCCAACUGAGAUAAGACAGACAAUGCCAUAUACUGUUCCAGCUGCCUUGGGUGUUUCUAGCAACUAAAUUUAUCUGAGAAGUAGUUCUACUUCUAGUUUUACAAGAAGUACAAUGAUAAAAUGUAUUUUUGGAAAAUGAUAAAAAGAAAAAAUCCUACACACCGAAGCUGUUAUUCCACACAAGCGCAAAAACAGAAAUAUUUGGAAGAGGCUUCCUAAAACAGCAACAGCUCAGACAACACGAAGCUGCACACACAACAAAUAUAAGCAUAUCACUGUAUUUGAAAGAGUGAGUUUCC